AGUAAGUGCAGUUUUAGCACUGUUCAUGUCUAACGUUUGACUGCUCGUUUUAUUUGAAAAAAAUAUGAUUAGUAUUUUUAUUAUUAUUACAUAAUAAAACAUUAGUACUUUAUGUGUGACUAAUUUUUUAAAAAAUUUUCAUAAAUUUUUCAAAUAAAACGAACGGUCAAAACGCUAAACACGGAUAUCUAUGGCUGUAUUUAUU
rnacentral:pre_miRNA from 1 species